AUUACUUUAAUAUUUUCUUUGAGUCUCUUAUCAGAAAUUACGAUUUCAUACCUAUCCGCAAUUUUUAAUAAUUGUUCUUUUGUGCAUUUUUCCAAAAGAUUACAAGAAGGCGAAUUAAAGAAAUCAACAUCAGCCAUGAAAACAAUCGCCAAAAAUCAAUUAUAAUGUGCAAUUAAAUAACGAGAAUUUUCCCUCUACCUAUAUUCCAACAACUACCUACCUCAACCCUAGUCUUCAUGCGAUUAUUUGUGGGGGGUACUUACGCACUGUAGCCCGCUGGGUGAAAAACGCAACUGGUAACACCAGCGACGCCUUCAACACCACGGAUGUGCUCCCGAGAUAAAUACUACUACCCACGUUCACCGCAACACUACAGAAAAACAACAAACUCGACACAUCUCAAAAGAAACGUGCCGCUAUGCCUAACAGGGAAAAUCUCCUUCAAACAACAUUGCACAACAUAAUUACUCACCACCUGGCGACAUUCCAUGGCGACUAAUUUACUUUGGCACAAACUAACUCACGUGUGUCUCAAAUUAUCAAACAAUACUCAAAACCAAACGCGCUUAACAAAAUAAUUUAAACAAACGGACGAGCCCCCAAUUUGUUACGACCCAUGGCUCAAGGGAAGCAACAAACAGAGGACACACGCGAAACCAAAAUGUUGACUCAAAAUAUAAUUUAUUUAAGGACUGAAACCACAUAGAAAAAUAAAGAAACUAUAAAGAAACAAUCAUGAAUUGGAAAACGUCAGUAAUGUCAGGGUGUAAUGUAAGAUGCAUGAAUGUAAGGGAAUGUAGUGUGCUGCAGUGUUGAAGGUGCCAAAACAAAAGCCAACCAAACCAAAAGUCCAAAACCAAAGUCAGCUCUCAGACCCAAGCGGAGGCCUCUUUUAACAAAGCAUCUAAUAACAAACCGGUGUUUCAAACGACUGCCAAUCAAGGUAAUUUGCGGACUCAGCGGCAGUUCCAUGAAAAGACGACAGGGGUCGUCACACUCAUUAGCGACUGUUUCUAUGGGCCGCUAUACGUAAGCCAUUGUAAUGGUCAGCUUGAUGUUAUUCACCAUAGUAAUCACUGAAUAUUCGAAAGAUGCCACAAUCCUGCAAAGCCGAUGGUCUGCAAACCCAACGACUCUGUGCGAAUCUACAGUAUGGUGAAUGACGUCAAGUUGACCGUUCCAAGAUGGCGGCCGCAUCUACAUGCCUGGAGCGGCCGAAUGGGGAAUCUGUAUUUGUAUAAUAGCUCAUAUGUAUAUGUACAUAUAUAUGAAUCGAUCAGGUUCGAUUUUCUGCGUUUUCGCAUCUGUAAGCAUGCAUUUGAUAGGAAAGGAUGAGGAAUACGAAAAAAACUGAAAAACGCACGCGAAAAGUUCGGACUCAGUGUGCAAUGACCUUAAAGAUUAUCUUAUCAGAUUUUCCUGUGGUGUGUUAAAGAGUGACUGAAUCUGCUCGGAAGAAUGUCGGAGGCGCCCCGAUCGCGAAUCGUAAAUAUUCAAUGCUGAAUAUAUGCGAUCAGAAAUCCUGAUGUGUGGGGGGAACAUCACGGCACACCACACACUAUAGGAGCAAAACUGUUAAAUCUAGGAUUUUUUGUCCUUGUGUUUGUGGUCUCUCACAUUUUGAAGAUCUUAUAAGAUUUUAAAAAUCUUUUAGUGUGUACCCAGCAUUAGCUGGUAUAGGCCAUUAGAUCAUCAGCCUGUCAACUUGAAGAUAAUGAAGCAUCUCUCCACUGUUACAUUUUAGAUGGGUACUACUGUUUCAUGAAAUCACUGAAACAUCUUGCUUUGUGUGCUCUCAGGUGAGAAUGCACCUCUCAGAAACCCUUAUGGGGAUGUUUUAUGUAAUUUAUUACCUGCAGGUAAACAUUCCCUCACUUAGAAUAAUCCACAUUCAUGAAGAUAAGAACAAAUACUAUUAUGCUUUUUUACACCUUCAAUUUCCUUUAGAGCAUAAUGUUGCUGUUUGUGCUUGAAUAGAAGUCAUUCAUUCAUUCAUUGUGCUUGAAAAGAAGUAACAGAGCACACUGUCUACUCCAAAAUGAUUUAUUCUCUGUAUCUGUUUCUGAACUACAUCGAUUGUAGUCCUGAGUUUUCUUCUGGGAAUGUACGUCACAACAUUCCAAAUUCAAAUAAUUCCUGUCCGUGUUAAUGAUAGUAAAUGAUUUUGACUAGAACUUAAUGGAUUAUACCACUGCCGUUACAUUAUUUAUGCUGUUCUACUUGAACCUCUUAAAGGGAUAGUUCACCCAAAAAUGAAAAUUCUGUCAUUUACUUUUUUGUGUGGGAAACAAAAAAUUAUGAUUUUAAGAUACUAACCAAACAGUUUUGGUUACAAUGGGAGAAAAAAAGAGGCAGUAAAGGCUAUGUUACACAGUAGUCAUCAAGAACAAUAGUCAUUCAGGGCAUGAGCAUGAUUGUUUACAUUCUGAGAAUUGAAUAUGUAAUUAAUAAUAUGUGGAGAUAAAAUUAGAUACAUUAUUAUUUAUUAUUUCUACCUAUACUCUAAAACUCAGUGAUUUCUAAAAUAUCAACCAAGUUUGGAUAUGGAUAGAUUUAAAUAGUAACAUUUAAAUGUAGCCCUCUUGGUGGUGAUAAAACCAACAGUUUAGGGGCCCUUUCUGCUAAUAUACACACCCAUAUUAAAAACCUGUCCAGUGGGAUUUAAGGGAAAUUAAAAGGCCAGUAAAUUAGUGACAAACCAUAUCCAAACCAAUCAGUACCAACAAAGGCACUGGCAGUGAUGAUAUGUCACAGUAGACAAUUCAUGUUACCCUUUAUUUAUUAUUACUUGUGGGUUGUUUUAACAGAACACUGGUUGCUUUGUUUGAUUCAGCCCCAAAAUAUGAUAAUGUUGCACAAUAAUGUUGUGAAACUUCCCUUCAUACUGGGAAUAAUGACUAACUGAAAUCUGUCCUCUCACUUUGUCAUCUGGUGAAAGCCUGUGUUAAACACUCUUCACCUGCUGCUUGUCCUAAAGCCCUAAACACACUGCACGAUUUUCGGGAGUUGUGAAAUCCUGUCCUAAAGGUUUAUGACUGGUCUAAUGAAGACCUGUGCUGGCCUCAUUGGUUCACCAGCCCUGUUUAGAAUUCAUGUUUUUAGAGUUAUAUAUUGUUAGUUGUUAUACUUUGUCUGCACUUAAACUUAAGCUCAGUUUCUCCUUAUUUUGCUUAUUUAGACUUUGUAAAGAAAACUGUUCUAAGCGCUGUUUAAAUUAGUUUUUACAUUAUGGAUUUUAUAUAUUAUGAAGUUGCCAGAUAUUUAAAGAAAUCUCAGUAUAUAAAGUAUCAAAAGUUGUAUGAAUGCAAAACUGAUUUCUGUAAGGAAAUUGGCUGUAUGGCAUGUUUGUUUUUUGCUUGUGUGUUUUGCAUCAUCUGACUUAUCACACACAGCCUCAGUGUUACAUGCUUUGAACAAAUAAAGUUUAAUUAUCUAAAUCCAUUUUGCUGCAUUUAUUUACAUUGCACUGGAGCAGGGGUGUCAAACUCAGUUCCUGGAGGGCCGGAGCCCUGCAGAGUUUAGGUGCAACCCCAGAUAAACACACCUGAUCCAGCUAAUCAGUUCCUUCAGGCUUAUUUGAAAACUACAUGGUUUGUGUGUUGGAGUAGGGUUGGCACAAAACUCUGCAGGGCUGCGGACCUCCAGGAACUGAGUUUGAAGCCCCUGCACUAAAAAAAUGAUUCGGUCUAAAUUUACAUUUUAUGUAAUUCAAUUGCAUAACAAUUUUCCAUCCAUUUAAAUUACAUAGUUUUAACAUAAACAAAUCAAUAAACUUAAUGUGAUUCAUAUCCAUCAGUCAUACGUGAAUGAAACGGGUAAGAUUUAUGUAAUAAUUCACAAAAAAGUCCCCACACUGCUCAGUGUUCAUGUGUUUCCACACUACACACUGUAAAAACUAAAGGUGCCUCAAAUAUCCCUUUGAGUACUCGAGGAACUUCAAAAUGUAAUUUAAGUGCCUCAAAGCUCUUUUUUUCAUAACGGGUUCCUGGAGGAACCAUUUCAUUCUUUGCAGUUCUUGCAAGAACUUAUGGGAUCCUUGAAGCACUUUGUUUCCAGUUCUGAGGUUCUGGAGUCACCCUUUCAUUACACAGAGACCUCAAAGUGCUCUGGAGGUUCCUGGAGGAACUCAAAUUUUUUAAAAGGGUUUUUGUAAGAUCUGUUAACGUUGAAAUGGUUCCUGGAAGAUCUGACUUGUAUAAGCCAGCAUCUGGAGGAACCCAGAGAUUCAUGUGACAGAAAUGAAAUAGGACUGAUUAUUAUUAUUGUUGUUAUUAUUAUUAUUAUUAUUUACUUUUUUGGAAUGGUAUGGAACGUAAUCACUUUUGUGGCACUUGGCAUGUGAAAACAAAAAACUUGGGCAUGAUUAGAAAAGACUAAAUAGUCUUACAAAUUGUCAAAAAAAGGGACAUGCAAAAUCUACAAAUCAGCCACGUAUAUCUAAAAAUUAUGUCUGAAAACACUGUUUUCAGCAAUAGGGAAUAUACACACAAGGCCAUACAGGCAGUGGCUACACCAUGGUAUUACAGAUUAUUUUCUUUAUUUCUUUCUGUCAGAUUGCACUUUUAUGCCUCCAUUUGUUGGAUUUUAAAUACCUUUGUUGUAUAACUUAAAUACUGCAAUAACUGAAAAAUAGUUUUUAGUUUAGAAAGAAAUGUAAAAUUAUUUGAAGGUAGAUAUUGUUUUCCCUGAAACUUUAAAGCAAACAUUAAAAAUAUUAUUGAACUAAAUAUGGCUCAACACAUUUGAUUAAAAAUACACUAAUUAUAACAAUCAGUACAAGUGUAAUAUUUAUAUUUUUAUUUCCCUAAUGAAAUAACUUUCAAUUAUUCAGAAAUAAUUGUUUAACAAUUAAUAUAAUAAAAGUAUGCUGUUGUCAGGAAGAAGAAAAUGUCCUCGCGCACCUGCUGUCUGCUCGCGCGCGCACAUGCAAGUGCGAUUUCAAAUACAAAGUAUCAUUAACGGUUCCUCUCCUCAAAGAAACAACCACAGCGCAGGACUGUCUAACAAAAGGUGAGUAAAUUCUCCAAAAUAAAUAUACAGAUUUACUAUUUGUACACAAAUUUCUGUACUGACACGCUUAACUGUAUGUUUUUAUAUUUAAAUGUUUGUUGUAUACCAUUUUAACCGCUAAUUUAAUAGCCGCGAUGCUAGCUAUCAUAAUGAACUUAGUGGGGCGAAAUGGAGAGUAUUAAAUCACAAACGGCGAUUUUUAGUCAGCUUUGUUCAUUAUGUUCACUUUUAGUCAUUGUAACUGUCUUCUUUUCUGAACUAAUUUGUUGUCGUUUACGUUUGUUAAUCGUUACCCAUCCAUAUUACAUGUAGACUAUCUAAUAGCUUAUUUUUCGAUUCAUUUAACUUACAGAAAAAAACUGUUUUUGUCCUUUUCUCUCCUCAGAACCUAUACAUUUAACAGGGUUCACUGAGCAGCACUAAUCAGUUAAUGAAGACGUAUGUUUCAUGAAUAUGGCUCUGUAGUGGACUGCUGGAGCUGCUGAUGUCUGUUGCUGGCUGACAAUAAAGUGAUCUCUUUGGACUUAGCUCAUCUUUUGAAGGUGUGUAAAUAACAACAAUUGAGGAGAAACAUCAGAAACCGAUCUAAAACAUUCAAUUACUUAUAGUUUAUAUGUUUUAUUUUUUUCCACUUUUAUAUUCUUCUGAGAAAUCCGAGCCUUGCUCCUGAUCCUGCUGUGCUGGACGGUAUAUGAUUAAUUGAGAAUCUUACACUAACUGUGGUAAUGGAGACCCAUUUGGUGAGAGCAGCACUGCAGAUUUUCCUGAUGGUGAGGAGCUACUUGCUGACGAACCUACCAACAUGAUUUCACCUUAUAAGUGCCUUUGUUCUAUUCAACAUUAUACAGAAAAGCUGUUAAACGUACAGCAAAGUGUACUAUUUUUCUGCUGCUAUUUGUUGGGUAUUCAGGAGGAGAUCAUCAAGCUACCUACAGCUGUCUUGAGGCUUAUCAAUUUCUUAACUUUCUGUGUGAAUUUUCCCAAUAUGUGACCUCUAUUUAGAACAAGAAAGAAUGUUAUUGACUGCGAUGUACAUUACAUUUGCUCAUUUGAAUUGUACUAUUUUUGAGGUAUGAUUGUUUUAAAGUUCUAAGAUAUUUGAGUCACAUUUAUUUGGGAACAAAUAUUAAAGAACUGAAAUUGAGAAAUGGUGCCUCGAAGCACCAAGGUGGUUCCUGACCAUUCUUAAUUAAAGGGUUCCUCCAGGAACCGUUAAAAGUUCCUCAGAGAACCACCCCUUUUUAAAGGGUGCCUAGAGGCUCUACAGAGGGUUCCGCCACAGUGGCAAAGUGAAGAACCCCAAAAGGUGCCUCCAGGAACCUUUAGUUUUUACAGUGAGAGUGUUCAAAUAGCAUUGAAGCAGUGUUGAGUUAAGAAGAUAAUUAUGUGAUGAUUGAUCAGUAAUGAUGGACACCUGCUGUUAUCAAGAAGAAUCACCAAAGGAAAGAGAAACACAAGAACUACAACUGACUUCAGCCACAGCCGAAGAUGAAAUCAACUGAUAUAAAAGACAUUAAAUCUCUCAAAAUCAGAUUAAACAACUCCACAAACAACAUCAGAUGGACUUUAUUUCUGUCAGACUUCUAGAGAAGCUCUUGUUGAGAAUUAACAAAGGUUUAGAUGCUUUAUUGUUUUGUUUGA